AGCUUUAAUAAAUGCCAGUGCAGAAUCUAAGUCUUCAAAUAUCUUUGGUCCUUCAGGAAGGAAAAUCCUCAAUCUUGCAGGGAACAAAAGGUGAUUGUGGAUAUCCCC